UUUUCCCCGCAGAGAUAGGAAAAAGGGGACGCCAGAAUGACACAUCGUUGGGAGUUCCGGUUUCGGACGGGUUUUCGUUUCCUCGCUUCUUUCUCGGACGGAACUCAGUUUCCCAUAGAAGUCAAUGGAGAAAUCCAGGAUUUUUCUCCAGGUGUGAUUUGUCAGCAGGUGCUUCUUACGCACCCGCAAAGGACCAUCCUCGUUCUAGGCCUGGACUUCUUUCAUGUCAAACACAUUUUAUUUGGGAUUUUCAACCUUUAAACAUCUUUUGUACACCCAUCGUUAAACAUCUUGUGUUACACCCUGUGUUGUAAACCGCCCAGAAAGGGCUCACAAUCUGGAAAGCAGCACAAGGGAGACACCAGCAAAAGCCACUGGAGGAAUGAUGUGCUGGCAUGAAUUAAGGACAGUUGCUCUUCCCCUGCUCCGUAUAAAGGUCAUCUCUUUAAAAGGUGCCUCUUAGCCCAUUUGGCAGGGUCCAUUUGCCCUGAAUCUUGAUGUGCUCCACAGUGGGGCCUCCAGCCUAGCAGAGAGGCAUCCAUUGUUAACCAGAUAGGAGCCAUCAUUUGAAAAGGAACCCCUUCCAGCAAAUUUCUGCUCGUCAACCACCAGGUAAGUGAGCAUAGGAUUUGAUCUGGGAGCACUAAACGUAGGCCCUGAUGAUCAACUUAUGGGCACAAGACCAACAGAAACCAAAGUUGCAACUUGAGCAUCUUUAACCAGGCAUAUCGUAUCACUGUGUUAUAGGAUGCCAUAAGAUCUAGAAGCCUUUGAAUGAGUUGAGCCGGUUGAGAUGGAUGCUGCUGGAAAUAGAGAACCAGGUCCCUGACGCACUGGAAGCGUUCCCAAGCUAUUAAGCCUUCCUGGCUUGUGUGUCUAGGACUACUCCAAUGUAGUUGAUAACACCAACUGGCUUCAGUUUGGAUUUUUUCCAAUUGACUUGGAUCCCCAAGUCUUGGAAAAGAGUUAGUAUGUACUUUGUCUGAGAACUUAACUCUUCUCUGUCUUUGGAAAUCAGGAGCCAGCCGUCCAGGUAUGGAUAGACCGAUAUACCCUAGGUCCGCAGGUAAGCUACUACUGCAGCCAUACAUUUUGUAAAUACCCUGGGGGUAGUGGAAAGCCUAAAGGGUAAGACUCCAUAGUGGUACACUUAAUUUCCUUCUGCAAAUCGCAUAUAUUUUCUGUGUUGUGCCCUGAUGUCAAUGUGGAAAUGUGUGUCUUUGAGAUCCAGCGUCACAAGCCAGUUCUCUUGAUAUAGAGGAGAUAGGAUCUCUUGUAACACUAUCAUACAAAAUUUUUGCACAUGGACAAAUUUGUUCAGUUGGCAUAGAUCUAUGAUAGGUUGUAUUCUGCCAUCCCUCUUUGGGAUCAGGAAGUAACGGGAGUAAAAUCCCCCCUUGUCUGUACACCCACUGUACCAGGGCAAUGGUCCUUUUGGCUAAAAGCUCCUUUACUUCCUCCAAAAAUGCUUGGAAGGUUUGAGUAAACCUCAUCCCUGUAAAUCUGAGGAUUGUUCUGAACUUCAUGGCAUAACCUGAUCUUUAGGACCCAGCGGUCCGAUGUUAUGUGGUGCCAUGCAGGGGAAUGGUGUGCCAACUUGAUGGUGGAUGCUGGUACUUUGUGAGACUGGUUUUGUCCCUUAUUUGCCAAUAUGUUCUGGCCCCCAGUGGCGAGAAAAAGGAGGAGCGUAAUUCUGACAGUGAGUGGAUCUGAACCUCAAAGAUGUUUCUGAGGCUGUCUGCUUUGUACAUUGGGGUUGAUUUGAUUUCCUCUUGCCGUGAAAAGGGCGUUUGUGGUAAGGUUGGUACUACUUCCUAAAAUCACGGUGCUCCUAUUGUCUAAUUGUGCACUUUGGUUUCAAAUAAAGACAGUAUUUGGAGUUGUAGGAGGAGGUAGAUGUUGAUGCACAAGUUUUGGAGGUGAAUUUAGAUUUUUUUUUUCAUUUUCUCCUUCGUGGAGUCGGUGUCCUCACUAAAAAGGCCCUUACCAUCAAAAGGUAAGCCCCCAGUUUUUAUUUCAUAUCGCCCUGCAGGUUAGUGGAGCGAAGUCAAGCAUGCCUCUGCAAGGGAGAUUGCAGCUGCCAAGGAGAACGAUUCAGACUCGGCCAGGUGUUUGGCAGUAAUUAAUUGCUGAUAAACUCGGAAAGAAGAACUUAACUGAUGAGGAGCGACAGCCCAAGGACUAAAUGCAAGGGCAGAUGGAAAAGAACUGUCGAACAAGCACCCGGCCCCACCUUUAAAUAGCAUGCUGAAGGCGUGUGGGCAGGGCUUGGUCGCCUCGACGAGCUGCAGCAUUCUACCACGAGGGUCCUGAGCAGGUGCAUUACCUAUUCUUAUGGAUCUCGACCCAGAUCAAAAGGUGAUCUUCCCAACUCUCAUAGAAAAAGAAUGUUAAGAAUCUGUUGCCAAUGUGGACAGACCAAAACCAAACAGGAUGUGGUCCUGACCAGUACCAACAGCUGAACAGAAAAAGUCAAGACAAAAACCAAUUCUACUAAGCUGAUAACAACCAAUAUGUGGAUUUCAUUACUAAGGACUAAAUGCUGAUAAUCUGCAAUUGUAACUGAUAUAGCCUAUAUCACAGUAUAGAAUUUUAAAUAGCAAAACAACAAAUUAGGAGAAAUAUGCACAAUAAAAUCCUUGAAACAAAUAGGAUUAAGAGUGAAAGUUCAGCCAUUCCAAGUAGAAGACUUGAAAAACAGGAAGUGGGAAUUCUGCCACACAUUUCCACCUUAAAAGCAGUGGCUUUCAUGUUUAUAACCACUUUUCAUAAAGUGGUGGCUUUCAUAUUUAUUGGGGGAGAGUAAUUGUCUCUAUUCAGUCCUUUCAGUGGUUUUACUGGUGUCUCCUUUGUGCUUCUUUUCAAAUUGUGAGACUUUUUGGGGAGAGGGAACCAUUUUCUCCUACUUUCUCCUAUGUAAAUCAC